rnacentral:misc_RNA from 1 species
UGGACUACUGGGGUUUCUAAUCCUGUUCGAUACCCACGCUUUCGUGCCUCAGCGUCAGUGUGGAGCCGGCAUGCUGCCUUCGCAAUCGGAGUUCUGCGCGAUAUCUAUGCAUUUCACCGCUACACCGCGCAUUCCGCAUACUUCUCUCCAACUCGAGACUGCCAGUUUCAACGGCGGGCCGGGGUUGAGCCCCGGGCUUUGACCGCUGACUUAACAGACCGCCUGCGCACCCUUUAAACCCAAUAAAUCCGGAUAACGCUCGCAUCCUCCGUAUUACCGCGGCUGCUG